AUGCAAGUCGAGCGAGAACCUGGGCUUCGGCCCUGGGGACAGCGGCGAACGGGUGAGUAUCACGUGGGUAAUCUGCCCUUGACAUCGGGAUAGCCCGGGGAAACCCGGAUUAAUACCGAAUAGCCUCCGGAGCCUUCGGGCGCCGGAGAAAAGGUAGCUUCGGCCUCUGGUCAAGGAUGAGCCCGCGGCGGAUUAGCUUGUUGGCGGGGUAACGGCCCACCAAGGCGACGAUCCGUAGCAGGUCUGAGAGGACGAUCAGCCACACUGGGACUGAGACACGGCCCAGACUCCUACGGGAGGCAGCAGUGGGGAAUCUUGCGCAAAUGCGGGAAACCGUGACGCAGCGACGCCGCGUGGGGGAAGAAGGCCUUCGGGUUGUAAACCUCUUUCAGGAGGGACGAAGCUACUCGGGUUAAUAGCCCAGAGGGUGACGGUACCUUCAGAAGAAGCCCCGGCUAACUACGUGCCAGCAGCCGCGGUAAUACGUAGGGGGCUAGCGUUGUCCGGAUUUAUUGGGCGUAAAGAGCGUGUAGGCGGCCAGACAGGUCUGCUGUGAAAACUCGAGGCUCAACCUCGAGAUGUCGGCGGAA
rnacentral:rRNA from 1 species